GUGACGGUAGUGCAGCGGUUAGCGCGCCCGGGUUGGAACCCAGGAGACGGGAGUUCGAAUCUCCUCUGUCACCCCA
rnacentral:tRNA from 1 species